rnacentral:rRNA from 1 species
GAUGAACGCUAGCGGCAGGCUUAACACAUGCAAGUCGAGGGGCAGCAUGAGACGGAGAUUCGUCGAAGUCUUGAUGGCGACCGGCGCAAGGGUGCGUAACGCGUGAGCAACUUGCCCGUUUCUGGGGAAUAACCGGUGGAAACGCCGACUAAUACCCCAUAGUAUUGAGUUUAGGCAUCUUUACUCAAUUAAAGAAAUUCGGAAACGGAUAGGCUCGCGUGACAUUAGCUAGAUGGCGGGGUAACGGCCCACCAUGGCGACGAUGUCUAGGGGUUCUGAGAGGAAGGUCCCCCACACUGGAACUGAGACACGGUCCAGACUCCUACGGGAGGCAGCAGUGAGGAAUAUUGGUCAAUGGUCUGACGACUGAACCAGCCAUGCCGCGUGAAGGUCACGGCCCUAUGGGUCUUAAACUUCUUUUGUAAGGGAGCAAUAAGUCUCACGUGUGGGAUGAUGAGAGUACCAUACGAAUAAGCAUCGGCUAACUCCGUGCCAGCAGCCGCGGUAAAAC